UACGUAGGGUGCAAGCGUUAAUCGGAAUUACUGGGCGUAAAGCGUGCGCAGGCGGUUAUGCAAGACAGAGGUGAAAUCCCCGGGCUCAACCUGGGAACUGCCUUUGUGACUGCAUAGCUAGAGUACGGCAGAGGGGGAUGGAAUUCCGCGUGUAGCAGUGAAAUGCGUAGAUAUGAGGAGGAACACCGAUGGCGAAGGCAAUCCCCUGGGCCUGUACUGACGCUCAUGCACGAAAGCGUGGGGAGCAAACAGG
rnacentral:rRNA from 1 species